rnacentral:rRNA from 1 species
AACGAACGCUGGCGGCGUGGAUAAGACAUGCAAGUCGCACGGAGUGCCUUCGGGCACUGAGUGGCGCACGGGUGAGUAACACGUGAGUAACCUGCCUCCAAGACAGGGAUAGCCCCGGGAAACUGGGAUUAAUACCUGAUGGUCUCGCAAGAGUAAAGCAGCAAUGCGCUUGGAGAGGGGCUCGCGUCCUAUUAGUUAGUUGGCGGGGUAACGGCCCACCAAGGCGACGAUCGGUAGCCGACCUGAGAGGGUGAUCGGCCACAUUGGAACUGAGAAACGGUCCAGACUCCUACGGGAGGCAGCAGUGGGGAAUAUUGCACAAUGGGCGAAAGCCUGAUGCAGCGACGCCGCGUGCGGGAUGACGGCCU